ensembl:lncRNA
GAGUAGGUGCACUGUAAUACUACUUGCAGAGAUGCCUCAUAUUAGUAAUAUAAAAUGCAAGAGGCACAGAUGAUGGAUGGUGAAUAUGAAUGGGUGUGGCAACUCAGUGUGGGAUUACCUGGUCUAUUUGGGCUUGCUUCAUUUUAAUUUGAUUUUUGAAGCUAAUCCUCAGAAGCGGUUGAAUAGAGCUAUGUCUGCCACGUCUAAUUCUUAUACACCAGUGAAGCUGAGUUUAAUUUUCAGAGGUUUAUUAUGCAAAAAUUGGUCAGCAGAUGUGGCAUGGUAAUAAACAGUUCCCAGAAAAUACCCACAACAAGCAAGCUGACUUGAAUUUGAUUGCUUUUUUAAGCACAGCAUUGCAGGGUCCUGUGCAGCCAUGUGGUCGACAACCUCUGAAGGGAGUUUUGCCAGUUUGCUUCAGCUGCUUUGUGAUGGUCCAGCAGUACAAGCGUGAAUGGAGAUUGCCUUGAUAUAGCACUUCUCCCAGGAUAGAGAGGACUCAAGGGAAAAGCAUUCCAGACUUAGUGUAUAACUUAGUGUAUCUUGCUUGCACAUCGAUGUCAGGUUUUUCGCUUCUACUGUAAAAUGAUCACUCAUUUUUACAAUUCCAGCAUACUUUUCUACCUGUCUUAGAAAAAGGAGGAGCAACCAAGCACCCCAGACACCAAGCAGCAUUCCACUUACAGCACUUCAUUAUAUGCAAGGGUCUUUUUUCAGGAAAAAAAAAAUGCUUUGACAAAAUAGCAAGACAGCCUCCUUAUUAGUCCACACGGUAGAUCGUUAUUGGUAGCUCAUUAUUAGCUCCUGCUUGGAGGAAGCGAAACGCAACAGCUUCUGCUGCUGAAAAACAAAACACUAAGAUGAAAAACAACAACAGCUCUCCCUGUUUGCACGUAUUACCAGGCCUCAAUUUUCUCUUCAGCAUCCUGUCCAACUUGUUUUUCCCCUAAUUAUCAUAAACUGCGCUUGCAGACAAAUCUCUUUCUAGUCUGAGCAAAACUCACCUUAUUGAUGUCUGAUUCAGUGGAGACCACGAGGAAUAAGAUCACAGGGAAAAGUUGAUAAGAUAGUUUGAUUGCUUAUUUUUAAUGCAACAAGUAAAAAAGGCUGAGCUUGCCAACUCAAAUGCCUGAGAGUGGAAGAAAAGCAGCUUUGGGGGUAUCACUGGGCUCCAUCUAACCCGUGUAUUAAGUACCAAAGACCAGCAGCCCUUCCUGCAUAGCUGGGGUCUUCUCCUCUUCACAAAAGAUGGCAAGGUCAUAGCUACUGCCCUUGUGUGCAUGCUCAGCUCCCUGGCUACCUCUGCGUCUGUCACUUCUCUUUAUGUUGAGAAGAAGACGUAGCAAAACCCUUUCACACCUGGAAUCCAGCCCAAGGUCAAUGCGUUAGGCAGCAGUUACCUUUCUAAGGAAUAUAAAAAGCUAUUUCAUAUUCCAGCUUGGCAGCUCUUCAUCAGCCAUUCUUUCUCAACAACUUCUCUGACAUCCUCACUGGAACAAUUUCCAAACUCUCCCACCAUUGCGUUGCAUAGCAGUGCUUUCUAUCUCACUGCUAGGCGGUGGGGCAAAACAUUAUUUUAAGCUUUUGCUGCUACCUGCAAGGCGUUGUAAGCUCUAACAGUUAAGUCCACACACAAGUCUCAAUGAAAAACUCGAGCGCUUUGUUGAAUAACGGUGUGCUGAAGUUUCAUGGCUUGCAUCUUUUGGCCUUCAGGAUUUUACUUAACACUUGAUUGCUUAGUACGUUUUUAGUCUUGUAGUGACAAUAUAGUGUGAAGAUUUUCCUGUUCCUUGAAAUCCUUGGGAAAAAAUGAGAGCUAUUUUACAAGAAGUAAGUUUUGACAACAUCAAGUUCAUUAUCAAGUUCAUCAUUCAUUAUUAUAUACUUGCAGAGACCUAAACAAUGGUAUGUCUUAAAAUUGCUACAGAAUAUUUAUCACUAUUCAUACAGAGUAUUCAUUUUUUUCCAGCAGAACUACCAUUCGAUCUAAAGGAACACAGACGCUCCUUUCAAGUGAGCAGCAGUUUGCGUCGACAAGAAUGUUUAUUUUCUGUGCUGAUUCAGCCCUAUGGAUAUUAAGUGUGAAACCUCAUAGAUGAGCAUAUGCACGGUGUAAUUACAGUGCUACUUUUGGAAAAAAGAUAAGUAUUCUUGCCAUGCUUUUACUAACUACAUUACCUUUCUUCAUUUGUAUGAAUUCUUUACAUUCACAGAUAAGCACACAUUAUAUACAUAUGGCAAAAUAGCAUCUUAAAGCAGGGGUGUGAAGGGCUAAGAGGUUAGGCACAGUUGCUAAAACAAGCUUAAUUAAGCAGGUAAAACACCACUCUGGAGCACAUCAGAGUUUUAUCAGUUUCAGAAGGAUGAGUUACGUCAGUUCAAAAAGAUGUUUAAAAAUGACCUACUUUUAUGGCUUCGGAGUGGGUUGUUUCUCCUCGUUACCCCUGUUUCUUGGACCCCUUAGGCUGCCUUCAAACGGAAUGCUGAGGCUGCAGGAGUUAGCACUUUUACCAAAAGUGACCGCACUUUUGCAGCAGUACUUAAUUUGGCCUAUUGCGUUUACUAAAGGAGAUAUCAAAGGACAGUCUGUAGCCCUUCCAAGACAUGGCUAUUUUUUAUCACUUUGAGGUAAGUGAUUGCUAGUCAGAUUCAAGCCAUCUUAACUCAGUUGCUCCUCUAAUGCUUCUUCUAGGAUGCAAACACAUGGCAAACGACAGUCUUUAAGGAGUGUUUGGGCUUGACAGAUGGUUUGAACAAUUUACUUCAUAUGAGUUCUUUGUGAUGUUUUUAACUAUUGGUUCAGAUCGCUCUGAAUGGAACACUAACGCAAAUGGUGCAAGAAAACCAGAACUACUGAAUAGAUUCAGCUGGAACAGCCCCACUGAUUCAAGAACCCUUUACCGAGCCCUAACCCAGUGCCAGGUUUUGGGGUGGCAGGGUGAGAGCACAGCUGGUCUGGGCAGCAGUGGCAUGGUUUCCAUGCAGAGACGGUGAGAACCAUGCUCCAGUUGAGAUCACACCAGGAGGGCUUCAGAAUGAAGACGCUCCCUCAGCUUUCCCAGAGCCACCUGUGCUCAGUGCUCUGCAGGAUCAGCAUGCAGGGGGUUUCUCACCCACACGGUUUAAACUCAAGGCGAGGGGCGGCAGAACUGUGACCUGGAACGACUGCGUACUUCCAUCCUUCCGUUGGCUACAGAGGGAUGAGGUGUUGUGCCACAAGGACGGCUCUCCCGCACAUCACAUCAGACCUGCUCAGGUACAGCGUGCUCUGUGUAAGCCAGAGCCCAGCACUGGGCAAAUGGGCCUCUCUUUGUAACAUUAGCACCCUCAGCGCUCACACCGUCCCACCUCAGAGGAGUUAUAGUAUCAUAUGAGAAACAUCAACCCUAUGACGAAAAGUUUUUUUGUCUUUUACUUCAGUAUUUCAGGAGUGUUGAUGUGACGCGCAGCUGUAAUGAAGCAGGGUAACAGUCACAUACAACCCAUAAAUCGCAAUGCAGACAUUAAAGCCAAAUUCCUUCUCCUCCCUACCUUAAGUCUUCCAGUGAGAGCCGCCGGGCCGAGAGAACCGUCCACCACCUCGCUCGCCUCAGCCCCGCGCCCCACCGAGGCGGCGCUCAGCCGCGCCCAUCGCCCCUCC